UAGAUGCGAGAGUAGAGCAUAUCAAUAAGCGGAGGAAAAGGCUGCUGAACUGAACGACCGCUACCUACGCUUAGGAUGUUGACGCGCGUGUGUGCGUGAGUCUAUACAUGACUCUGUGCAUAUCAAUAAGCGGAGGAAAAGAAACUAACAAGGAUUCCCUUAGUAACGGGGAGUGAAGCGGGAAGAGCUCAAAUUUGAAAUCUUCAAGGUUCUACCUUGACGAAUUGUAGUUUAAAGAAGUGUUUUCUGUUAGAUGAGUAGCAAAAGUUCCUUGGAAUGGGACAUCAUAGAGGGUGAGAAUCCCGUAUUUGGUUAUUCAUUCUAGCUUUGUGAUACACUUUCAAAGAGUCGGAUUGUUUGGGAAUGCAGUCCAAAAUGGGUGGUAAAUUUCAUCUAAAGCUAAAUAUUGGCGAGAGACCGAUAGCGAACAAGUACCGUGAGGGAAAGAUGAAAAGAACUUUGAAAAGAGAGUUAAACAGUACGUGAAAUUGUCAAAAGGGAAGCGUUUGGACACCAGUGUUGUUUUUCCGAAAAUCAAUUACGAAUGGCUUGAUUUUGUGUUGUAUUGACCUUAUCAGCUUUCUUCACUUUUUUCGAGUCUUUCUUAAUGCACUUUUCGGUUAACAAGUCAACAUCAAUUUCUUUUGUUGUAAAAGAGUAUUCGGAAGGUGGCUUUCUUUCGGAGAAAGUGUUUAUAGCCCUAUACUUCUACAAUCGGAGAGAUUGAGGUCUGCAGCGUAGAUCCUUCGGGGUUAGAUACAUUUGUGCUAAGUUGUAGCUUUUCAUAGACAACUUGUUGACUAUGUUUAGUCAUGCGGCUUACUCGCUUGUGCUAUUUUACCUACGCUUAGGAUGUUGAGCGCAUGUCUCUCUCU
rnacentral:rRNA from 1 species